CUUAUCUCGAAUUUGGAAUA
rnacentral:snRNA from 1 species